rnacentral:rRNA from 1 species
UACCAGCUCUCCGAGUGGUGUGGAUGUUUAUUGGGCCUAAAGCAUCCGUAGCUGGCUGGACAAGUCCCCUGUUAAAUCCACCGAUUUAAUCGUUGGUGUGCGGGGGAUACUGUUCGGCUAGGGGACGGGAGAGGCCGACGGUAUUUCCGGGGUAGGGGUGAAAUCCUAUAAUCCCGGGAAGACCACCAGUGGCGAAGGCUGUCGGCUAGAACGCGCCCGACGGUGAGGGAUGAAAGCUGGGGGAGCGAACCGGAUUAGAUACCCGGGUAGUCCCAGCUGUAAACGAUGCAGGCUAGGUGUUUGGGCGGCCACGUGCCGCUCUAGUGCCGCAAGGAAGCUGUUAAGCCUGCCGCCUGGGGAGUACGGCCGCAAGGCUGAAACUUAAAGGAAUUGGCGGGGGAGCACCACGAAGGGGUGAAGCUUGCGGUUU